rnacentral:lncRNA from 1 species
GAAACAUCAGGCCGGGCGCGGUGGCUCACGCCUGUAUGGGAGGCCGAGGCGGGUGGAUCACGAGGUCAGGAGAUCGAGACCACGGUGAAACCCCGUCUCUACUAAAAAUACAAAAAAAAUUAGCCGGGCGCGGUGGCGGGCGCCUGUAGCCCCAGCUACUCGGGAGGCUGAGCCAGGAGAAUGGCGUGAACCCGGGAGGCAGAGCUUGCAGUGAGCCGAGAUCGCUCCACGGCACUCCAGCUUGGGCAACAGAGCGAGACUCCAUCUUAAAAAAAAAAAAAAAAAGAAACAUCAGUGGAAGAGGAAGAAACUGCAGGGAGAGACCAGCAAAGGAGUGAAGGAAGCAGAGCAAGGAAGGAGAAUAAGCUACACAAUGCUGUGAUUACAGGAGUAGGUACAGGAAUAAACUUACGUGAUCCUCAUUUCAAGGAGAAGAAGGAGAAGUUGAAGAAGGAGGAGAAGGAGAAGGAUGAGAAGAAAAACAAGAAGAGGAAGGAGAAGGAGGAGGAAAAUGAGAAGGAGAAGAAGAGAAGGAACAGCAGCAGUUGCAGGAGGAGGAGAAAGAGGAGGAGGAGGAGGAGGGAGUGUGCAGAAGCUGGGGGGGGAUUCCAAUGUUGGAAGCAUUUUUAGCGUACAACAACAUCCAAGUGGAUUACUAUGAAUGCCUAGACCUCUAUGGCAAACAGGUACUUAUACUAUUAUGAAAUGGUCAAGAGAUGAAGCAGAGAGAAGGAGAAAGAGAGA